rnacentral:rRNA from 1 species
AUUGAACGCUGGCGGCAGGCCUAACACAUGCAAGUCGAGCGAGCGGCGGACGGGUGAGGACUGGAUGGCGACUGGCAGAUCGAGGGGGUUAACGUGUGGAAACGGUGGCAACUACCGCAUACAGUCGAAUAACACAUAUGGAAUUAGCUGGUAGGUAAGGUAAUUGCUAAGCUAGGCGACGAUCCCUAGCUGGUAGGAGAGGAUGAUCAGCCAAACUGGAACGUAGACACGGCCCAGACGCCUACGGAGGCGGCAGUGGGGAAUAUUGGACAAGGGGCGCAAGCCUGAUGCAGCCAUGCCGCGUGUAUUAAGAAGGCCCUAGGGUUGUAAAGUACUUUCAGUCGGGAGGCGUUACCGACAGAAGAAGCACCGGAUAACUCCGUGCCAGCCGCCGCGGUAAUAC